rnacentral:misc_RNA from 1 species
UUACUUGAAUGUCUACGAUUUGACUCCAAUCAAUGGUUAUGCUUAUUGGGUCGGUCUCGGAAUCUACCAUUCCGGUGUGCAAGUCCAUGGUGUGGAAUAUGGUUUUGGAGCACAUGACCUCCCAAGCGCAGGGAUCUUUGAGGUGGAACCUAGGCAAUGCCCUGGUUUCACUUUCAGAAAAUCAAUAUUGAUUGGAAGGACAGAUCUUGGUCCUAAAGAAGUUCGUUCAUUCAUGGAGAAGCUAGCUCAAGACUAUUC